rnacentral:lncRNA from 10 species
AAUGUAACAGGAUAAAUAUACCACUGCCAGAAUGCAACAUAGCUCGGAAUUAAUUCUUUUCCUACUUUUUGUGCUUUGUAGAUAUAACUUCUGGAAAACUCCAUCACAAAAUUAAGCUGAUGGGAAUGGAAAAGGUUUGUUAUUGAAAUGUCCGUCAAUUCUCCUAAUUCUUUCCUCAUUUUAUUCCCCAGAUCAUCCAGGUCUUCACAGGACUCCUCCCCCAGAAUGAUGCCUCCUUUGACAAUAGCUGGAGAUGUCAGAAAUGAGAUCAUUACUCAGCACUGGAUGCAGUGAAAACCUACUUAAAUACACUUUGAAACAACAGUCCAACAAAAUAGAACAGACUUCAAAUGUUGAAUAUACAAACCAUUAUAGUUCAAAUCUGAACACUGGUACUUUCCGUCAUAAACUUCAACUAAAACAAAAAAAAAGAAAAGAAAGAAAGGAAGAAGGAAGGGAGGGAGGGAGGAAGGGAGGGAGGGAGGAAAGAAAAGAAGAAUAGAAAAGGAAAAGAAAAGAAGGAAGGAGAGCGAGAAAGAAAGAAAGAAAGAAGAAAAGAAAGAAAGAAGAAAAAGAAGAAAAGAACGAACGAAAGAAAGAAAGAAAGAAAGAGAAAGAAAGAAAAAAGAAAGAGAAAGAAAGAAAGAAAGAAAGAAAGAAAGAAAGAAAGAAAGAAAGAAAGAAAGAAAGCAAGCUAGCUCACUCCAGGUAUUAGAGCUACCUAACAAAAAGUCAUGCUGAUCCUGAACUUCCAAGUGACAGUAGAACUGAAACUGAUAUGGCUGCAGAAAUGCCAGGGCUAAGCGAGUGACACAGACAUGUUAUAGCAAAAGGCCAGGGCCAACUGUUAAUUUGUCCACAAUUAAGAAACACAGACUUAAACUACCAUAUAAAAUCUUACAUGUAAACUCUGUAACAGUACUGUGCUAGGUACAAGAUUUUAAAAUUUUUUCAUUUUAUAAAAAAGCUUUACACAAACAAGCCAUUAGUUUAUUUCGAGAAAGAAAACCGAAAAUUAGUCUAAGGCCUUUGUUUUAAAUCAGCUUAAGCUAUAUCAUCUAUAUAUAUAUUUUAAUCACACCAGACCUUUUUUUGCUAUCCUCUUUCUGAAGUUUUUGGAUCCAUUCUUCAAUUCACAUUCUAAAAUACAUAUAUUAGGACAGUGUUCACAUAGCACCAGUUGAGUACUGUGCAAACACAGUAAUGAUUGCUGGUACACACAUAAAAUGCAUCAAAAAUUGCUAUAUGUAACAAUGAGAUCACCCAUCCCAACCCCUCCCCACUGACACAGAAAACUAUAUAACCUCUUACAGAAUUUUAGUGUUCAAAGUCUUAGUGUAACUUGAUAUCUUAGUGAGCUGCUUGGUCCCUUUCAAUCCUUUUUCUUAGCGACGGGUUCAGUUGUUUUUCCUACUGGAAGAGGCAGUUUUCUGUCAGCAUCUCAAUACAUAGUUUAUUUCCCACUGAAACAUGGGAUAGGUAAUUUAUUUCCAGUAAGUUCGCUUGUUUUCUUACAUGCAUUAAACAUGUUUUAAAGUCUUCUUUGACUUUUCUUGAUGACUUCCCUU